AUUAUUAAAAAUUAAUUUAUUUUUGUAAUUUUAUGUUAAUUUUAUUAAAAAUAAUUUUAUUUAUUUGAUUUUUUAGUAUUUUUUAAAGAAAUAAUAAUUUGAAUAAUAGUUUAUUUGUAUUGUAAAAGAAUAUUGAAAUAAUUUGAAAAAUUAAUAUAGUUAAAGAAAUCUUAAGUUGUUGUACCUUUUGUAUCAGGGUUUAUUAAAUAAAAAAUAUAUUUUUUAUUUUUCUCGAUUUUAAAAGAGUUAAUAAAUUAUAAUAGUUAAUGUAGAAUAAUUAUUAUAAAUAAUUUAUUAGAAAUGAAAAGUUAUUCGUUUUUAAUGGUAUCUAGUUUUUUAAGAAUUGAAUUUAAUUCAUUUAUAAUUAUAUAAUUUUUUAUUUUUUAAAUAAAUUUUAUAUUUAUAAAAAAAUUUUAUGGGAUAAGCUAUAAAAUUAUAUUAUAAAUUUAAAUAAUUAAGAUUUAUAUAUAAGCUUAGAAUUAGCUAUUAUUUAUAAAUAUGUUAUAGUUUAUUAUAUUAAAUAAAUUAUUUAUUUAAAUUUUAAAUUUUUAUUAAAAUAUUUAUUAUUGGAAUUUUAUAUAUAAAGAAAUAAUGAUAAAAUUAGUAUAUGAAUUUUAAAGUAUAAUAUUUUUUUUAAAAUAAAUAUUAUUAAAGAAUUCGGCAAAUAUAGUAUUCACCUGUUUAACAAAAACAUGUCUUUUUGAGUUUUAUAUAAAGUCUAAUCUGCCCAAUGAAAAAUUUUGAAUGGCCGCAGUAUUUUAACUGUGCAAAGGUAGCAUAAUCAUUAGUCUUUUAAUUGAAGGCUUGUAUGAAUGAUUGGAUGAGAUAUUUACUGUUUCAAUAUUAUUAAAAUAAAAUUUUAUUUUUUAGUUAAAAAGCUAAAAUAAAUUUAAAAGACGAGAAGACCCUAUAGAUCUUUAUAUUAUGGUUUAUUUUUAUUUAUAUAGAAAUUUUAAAAUAUAAUAUUUUGUAAUAUUUUAUUGGGGUGAUAAUAAGAUUAAUUAAACUCUUAUAUAAUUUUAACAUUAAUUAAUGAUUAAUUGAUCCAUUUAUAGUGAUUAUAAGAUUAAGUUACCUUAGGGAUAACAGCGUAAUUUUUUUAGAGAGUUCUUAUCGAUAAAAAAGAUUGCGACCUCGAUGUUGGAUUAAGAUAUAAGUUAGGUGUAGAAGUUUAAAUAUUAAAGUCUGUUCGACUUUUAAUUUCUUACAUGAUCUGAGUUCAGACCGGCGUGAGCCAGGUUGGUUUCUAUCUUUAAAUAAUUAAAAUAUUUUAGUACGAAAGGACCAAAUAUUAGAAAUAUAGUUUUAAUGUUAAUGAUUAUUAAUAAAUUUUUAAU
rnacentral:rRNA from 1 species